UUACCCUACUGAUGAAGUGUUGUUGCAAUAGUAAUUCUGCUCAGUACGAGAGGAACCGCAGAUUCAGACAAUUGGCAUUUGCACUUGGCUGAAAAGCCAAUGGUGCGAAGCUACCAUCUGUUGGAUUAUGACUGAACGCCUCUAAGUCAGAAUCCUUGCUAGAACGCAACGAUAAUUACCUCCGGAGAAUCUUAGGCGAACAAGGAUAGAGAACGGGCUUGCCCGCUCUCCUGCGUCCCAAUGUACCAAGAGGGAAAACAACCCUCAAGGCACUAAAGUAUAUCAAAGUUUAAAAUUUCUGGAGAUAAAUCCUUUGCAGACGACUUAAAUAAAGAACGGGGUAUUGUACGUUGUAGAGUAGCCUUGUUGCUACGAUCUUCUGAGAUUAAGCCUUUGUCUACUGGUUCUCU
rnacentral:ncRNA from 1 species